AUGAAUGGACCUUUUGGUCUAGUGUAUGAUUUAGUCAAUGACCGUUUUGCAAGCAGUAAUGCUGUUGGAUUUUUUAAGUUGCCAAUACACAUUUCCAGUCAAUCCAGAGGGUGGGAUGACACAAGAAUAGGUAGAUUAAAACCCAUAGCGUUAGGAAUUUGUUUAUAUUCCUAAUUCUAUAGUGUUUCUUCUAGCAUCUUGCCUAACCCCCUGCUUCCAGUAUAAAAAAAGAAACCCCACAAACUCUCCAUGAUGCUCCACAUCACACCCCUUGCAAUGGCCGCUCUUCUUGAGGGUGAAUCUACAGUAUGAAAGCACUGCAAUGCCUCGUAGUAGUCCUACACCCUCACUGUCGUAUGGAAAUCACACAGUAACCACCUCCACCAGCCACAUUUAACCCCAUAGAUUUUAACCUUUAAAACAAAUCAUUUUAUGUUAAAUGAAUUGAAGUGAUGGCAAAAUAUGCCUUAAAAGUGUAAAAUAAACAUUGUGAC